UACGUAGGGUCCGAGCGUUGUCCGGAAUUACCGGGCGUAAAGAGCUCGUAGGUGGUUUGUCGCGUUGUUCGUGAAAACUCACAGCUCAACUGUGGGCGUGCGGGCGAUACGGGCAGACUUGAGUACUGCAGGGGAGACUGGAAUUCCUGGUGUAGCGGUGGAAUGCGCAGAUAUCAGGAGGAACACCGGUGGCGAAGGCGGGUCUCUGGGCAGUAACUGACGCUGAGGAGCGAAAGCGUGGGGAGCGAACAGG
rnacentral:rRNA from 1 species